rnacentral:lncRNA from 1 species
GUUGACUUGGUCACUUGCUUUAAUCUAGGUACUUUGGGUUCUUUGUGGAUACCUGUUGAGAUCUUCACAUCCUAACAUUUUCAAUGCAUGUGCAGCUUUCGAGGACUUGCACUUGGGGAAGUAAAUUAUAAGCAACCACUUAGUAGUAAAUAGGAAAAAAUUACACAAAAGCAAAAGAGACAAAUGGUAUAAGAGUAGUCUUAUCUUUUUUAUUGUAACAACUAAAACUAGGGUUAGGAUUUUGGAAUGGUGAAAUAGAAAAUAAUAAAAUCAGGCCUUACCCACUGACCGUUCUAGCCGUUGCAACCUCUAGAUGUGCUUGAAAGUUACUGCUCCAUUUUUUGCUCUAUUUUAUGCCGUUUAUAGCCUAUAAAUAUGUGUGAUCUCUAUAAAUGAAAACAUCAGAAUCUAUUACCUUAAGCAAAUUUAAUUUCUCUUUUUCUCUAUUAUUACUUUCCCUUUUUUAGAUUAGAGUCAUGAAAAGUGCCUCUAAAAAGGUGUUUCCUUAAUAUAUAACUCAAUCUACAAAUAUAACAAACCAAUCAAGAGUUUCAUCAAUCUAUAACUAAUCUUAACCAAGCCAAAAGGUUUUUUAAAAUUUAUAUUAAAGCACAUGGGGUAAAAUUCCUUUCACACCCAUGAGAGACUAUUUUCCUACACAAGAGAAAUUUUUAUCCCUCUCUGU